rnacentral:rRNA from 1 species
GACGAACGCUGGCGGCGUGCUUAACACAUGCAAGUCGAACGAUGAAGCCGGAGCUUGCUCUGGUGAAUUAGUGGCGAACGGGUGAGUAACACGUGAGUAACCUGCCCUUGACUCUGGGAUAACUGCGGGAAACUGUAGCUAAUACCGGAUACGACCCUCGGAGGCAUCUCCUGGGGGUGGAAAGAAUUUCGGUCAAGGAUGGACUCGCGGCCUAUCAGCUAGUUGGUGAGGUAAAGGCUCACCAAGGCGACGACGGGUAGCCGACCUGAGAGGGUGACCGGCCACACUGGGACUGAGUCACGGCCAAGACUCCUACGGGAGGCAGAAGUGGGGAAUAUUGCACAAUGGGCGCAAGCCUGAUGCAGCAACGCCGCGUGAGGGAUGACGGCCUUCGGGUUGUAACCCUCUUUUAGCAGGGAAGAAGCGAAAGUGCCGGUACUGCAGAAAAAGCACCGGCUAACUACGUGCCAGCCGCCGCCGUAA